rnacentral:piRNA from 1 species
GGAAAGUGUGUAGGUCUCUUUAACAGAGUA